AUGUACAGCCCUAGAGACUGAACCCUUAUAUUUAUCCACAGAACAGGUACAGCACAAUCAGCAGCAGUGCAAGCUUUCCCACAGCAAAGUCUCAUCCAAAUGUCUCAGCCCUGUUCUGGAGGAUACAUCAGUUGAGGUGAGAAGGUAGCUCAGUCUCUUUCUACUGAGACAUUAUUUGGCUUUU
rnacentral:sRNA from 1 species